GACGAACGCUGGCGGCGUGCCUAAUACAUGCAAGUCGAGCGAAUCACUGGGAGCUUGCUCCCGGUGGUUAGCGGCGGACGGGUGAGUAACACGUGGGCAACCUGCCUGUAAGACUGGGAUAACACCGGGAAACCGGUGCUAAUACCGGAUAAUCCUUUUCUGCUCAUGCAGGAAAGCUGAAAGUCGGUUUCGGCUGACACUUACAGAUGGGCCCGCGGCGCAUUAGCUAGUUGGUGAGGUAACGGCUCACCAAGGCGACGGUGCGUAGCCGACCUGAGAGGGUGAUCGGCCACACUGGGACUGAGACACGGCCCAGACUCCUACGGGAGGCAGCAGUAGGGAAUCUCCCACAAUGGACGAAAGUCUGAUGGAGCAACGCCGCGUGAGCGAUGAAGGCCUUCGGGUCGUAAAGCUCUGUUGUCAGAGAAGAACAAGUACCGGAGUAACUGCCGGUACCUUGACGGUACCUGACCAGAAAGCCACGGCUAACUACGUGCCAGCAGCCGCAGUAACAC
rnacentral:rRNA from 1 species